GGCUCAUUAAAUCAGUUAUCGUUUAUUUGAUAGUACCUUACUACAAGGAUAACCGUGGUAAUUCUAGAGCUAAUACUUGCACAAAAUCCCGACUUCGGAAGGGAUGUAUUUAUUANAUUAAAAACCAAUGCCCUCCGGGGCUCACUGGUGAUUCAUGAUAACUUUUCGAAUCGCAUGGCCUUGCGCCGGCGAUGGUUCAUUCAAAUUUCUGCCCUAUCAACUUUCGACGGCUGGGUCUUGGCCAGCCGUGGUGACAACGGGUAACGGAGAGUUAGGGCUCGACUCCGGAGAAGGAGCCUGAGAAACGGCUACUACAUCCAAGGAAGGCAGCAGGCGCGCAAAUUACCCAAUGACGACACGUCGAGGUAGUGACAAUAAAUACUGAUACAGGGCUCUUUUGGGUCUUGUAAUUGGAAUGAGUACAAUUUAAAUCCCUUAACGAGGAACAAUUGGAGGGCAAGUCUGGUGCCAGCAGCCGCGGUAAUUCCAGCUCCAAUAGCGUAUAUUAAAGUUGUUGCGGUUAAAAAGCUCGUAGUUGAACCUUGGGCCUGGCUGGCCGGUCCGCCUCACCGCGUGCACUGGUCCGGCC
rnacentral:rRNA from 1 species